rnacentral:rRNA from 1 species
CGGGGUGCACCAGGCGCGAAAACUUUACAAUGCGGGAAACCGUGAUAAGGGGACGCCGAGUGCCAGCAUCAUAUGCUGGCUGUCCAGGUGUGUAAAAUACACCUGUUAGCAAGGGCCGGGCAAGACCGGUGCCAGCCGCCGCGGUAACACCGGCGGCCCGAGUGGUGAUCGUGAUUAUUGGGUCUAAAGGGUCCGUAGCCGGUUUGGUCAGUCCUCCGGGAAAUCUGACGGCUCAACCGUUGGGCUUUCGGGGGAUACUGCCAGGCUUGGAACCGGGAGAGGUAAGAGGUACUACAGGGGUAGGAGUGAAAUCUUGUAAUCCCUGUGAGACCACCUGUGGCGAAGGCGUCUUACCAGAACGGGUUCGACGGUGAGGGACGAAAGCUGGGGGCACGAACCGGAUUAGAUACCCGGGUAGUCCCAGCCGUAAACGAUGCUCGCUAGGUGUCAGGCAUGGCGCGACCGUGUCUGGUGCCGCAGGGAAGCCGUGAAGCGAGCCACCUGGGAAGUACGGCCGCAAGGCUGAAACUUAAAGGAAUUGGCGGGGGAGCAC